rnacentral:rRNA from 1 species
GAACCUGCCUCAAAGAGGGGGACAACAGUUGGAAACGACUGCUAAUACCGCAUAAGCCCACGGGUCGGCAUCGACCAGAGGGAAAAGGAGCAAUCCGCUUUGAGAUGGCCUCGCGUCCGAUUAGCUAGUUGGUGAGGUAACGGCCCACCAAGGCAACGAUCGGUAGCCGGACUGAGAGGUUGAACGGCCACAUUGGGACUGAGACACGGCCCAGACUCCUACGGGAGGCAGCAGUGGGGAAUAUUGCACAAUGGGGGAAACCCUGAUGCAGCGACGCCGCGUGGAGGAAGAAGGUCUUCGGAUUGUAAACUCCUGUUGUUGAGGAAGAUAAUGACGGUACUCAACAAGGAAGUGACGGCUAACUACGUGCCAGCAGCCGCGGUAAAACGUAGGUCACAAGCGUUGUCCGGAAUUACUGGGUGUAAAGGGAGCGCAGGCGGGAAGACAAGUUGGAAGUGAAAUCUAUGGGCUCAACCCAUAAACUGCUUUCAAAACUGUUUUUCUUGAGUAGUGCAGAGGUAGGCGGAAUUCCCGGUGUAGCGGUGGAAUGCGUAGAUAUCGGGAGGAACACCAGUGGCGAAGGCGGCCUACUGGGCACCAACUGACGCUGAGGCUCGAAAGUGUGGGUAGCAAACAGGAUUAGAUACCCUGGUAGUCCACACCGUAAACGAUGAUUACUAGGUG